UUCCUUCAAUAUUUAGUUUUUUCUUUGGGUUUCUUUUUUUUGCAAGCAAGUGCAUGGUUGAAUCAAAAGUAGCUAUGCAAUUGUAAUAAGACCAGUUCUGUUAACAAAAAAGUAUUGACUACCAUUGAUAACAAAUAUCUUUAUUACAAAUAGAGUUUAGUACUAAGUAACAUGUAUAAAUAAAAUUCAUACUUCACAACUCUCAACAUACAUAAAAUAUAAUUAUCAUAUUCAAUGAGCCUAAUAAUGAAAUAUUUUUCUAAAUAAAAAUGAAGUCAGUAUAAAUUCUGGUCUGAAUAAUUUGAAUCCACCCUACUUGCAGUGUUUUAUCAAUGCCUAGAUUGAGCUUACCGUUGAACAUUGUACGUAUUAAAGACUAAAAUUUUCAAUUUGUUUUUUUAAUUAGUAUGUUGAUAAAGAGAUAUUUACUUUAAAUAUUUGAGUAAUAGAAUUCUAUGUCUUUUAAAUCAAAACAUCAAAAAAUUACAACAUCAAUGCCAUAAUUGUCUUAUGUACCAGAAAUGGAGAGAAAAAAAUCCUUUCAAAAUGCAAAAUGUAACAAUUUUUAAUGAUUUGUUUCUUUU
rnacentral:lncRNA from 1 species